rnacentral:rRNA from 1 species
GACGAACGCUGGCGGCGUGCUUAACACAUGCAAGUCGAACGGAAAGGCCCUGCUUUUGUGGGGUGCUCGAGUGGCGAACGGGUGAGUAACACGUGAGUAACCUGCCCUUGACUUUGGGAUAACUUCAGGAAACUGGGGCUAAUACCGGAUAGGAGCUCCUGCUGCAUGGUGGGGGUUGGAAAGUUUCGGCGGCUGGGGAUGGACUCGCGGCUUAUCAGCUUGUUGGUGGGGUAGUGGCUUACCAAGGCUUUGACGGGUAGCCGGCCUGAGAGGGUGACCGGCCACAUUGGGACUGAGAUACGGCCCAGACUCCUACGGGAGGCAGCAGUGGGGAAUAUUGCACAAUGGGCGGAAGCCUGAUGCAGCAACGCCGCGUGCGGGAUGACGGCCUUCGGGUUGUAAACCGCUUUCGCCUGUGACGAGGCGUGAGUGACGGUAAUGGGUAAAGAAGCACCGGCUAACUACGUG